GACGAACGCUGGCGGCGUGCUUAACACAUGCAAGUCGAACGGAAAGGCCCCCACUUUUUUGGUGGGGGUGCUCGAGUGGCGAACGGGUGAGUAACACGUGGGUGAUCUGCCCUGUACUUCGGGAUAAGCUUGGGAAACUGGGUCUAAUACCGGAUAGGACCAUGGUUUAGUGUCUCAUGGUGGAAAAAUUAUUGUUUUGGUGCAGGAUGAGCUCGCGGCCUAUCAGCUUGUUGGUGGGGUAAUGGCCUACCAAGGCGUCGACGGGUAGCCGGCCUGAGAGGGUGGACGGCCACAUUGGGACUGAGAUACGGCCCAGACUCCUACGGGAGGCAGCAGUGGGGAAUAUUGCACAAUGGGCGCAAGCCUGAUGCAGCGACGCCGCGUGGGGGAUGACGGCCUUCGGGUUGUAAACUCCUUUCGUUAGGGACGAAGCUGCACCUUUUUUGGGUGUGGUGACGGUACCUUUGUUAAGAAGCACCGGCUAACUACGUG
rnacentral:rRNA from 1 species